rnacentral:rRNA from 1 species
UUACGGGGUGCCUACGGGAGGCAGCAGUGGGGAAUAUUGCACAAUGGGCGCAAGCCUGAUGCAGCCAUGCCGCGUGUGUGAAGAAGGCCUUCGGGUUGUAAAGCACUUUCAGCGAGGAGGAAGGCAUUAAGGUUAAUAACCUUAGUGAUGACGUACUCGCAGAAGAAGCACCGGCUAACUCCGUGCCAGCAGCCGCGGUAAUACGGAGGGUGC